UCUUGCGGGGACCCACAGCCACUAGCAGCUGCUCCGCGAGCUGCCCGAGACAUCCCACCAUGGUAUUAUUUUUAAAAAGAACAAUAUUGGUGCCGGGACUCAACAGAUUCACCUGCCAAGGGCCAGGGUUCCAGCUUUACCUUUUGUCUGGGACUCUGACCACCAACUUCCGGGAUUGAAUUGGAAUCGAGGACUUCUCAACCCCGUCAACUGCCUGGACUCCUUCCUACAAACAACACCAGCUUCUAAUUGUACAAGGGACACCAGACAUUUCCAUGCCACAGACACCUGUUGGGAGCAGAGACCAGCUAUGCCAAAAUGUGACCAGCAUUCAGCCUUCUCUCGGAUCUUCCUUACACCCCCCCCCCAAAAACAACGCCCACAAAUCAGCCAGAAGCAGCCUUGAGAAUUCACCGCCCCAAUUCCUUCAACCUGUAAUGUCUAACCUUCUACUUUUUAUUACAAAAAGGAUUCGGGAAUGUUA